UGGUUUUCAAACACAUACUAAGUCAUAAAUCAAACAAAGUCACAAUUACAUACUACACAAUUUAUGGGUCACAAAUUACACAAUAUCAUAAUCACUUACUACAUAAUUUAUUAGUCACAAUCAUAUAUUAGACACAAAUCAUACAAAUAAUUUGAUCACAAUCACUUUCCAUACUUGAAUUCGAGUAAUUUCCUAUUGUACCUAACCAUAUCCAUUGAGCUCCCCUCCAAAUUCAACAGUCUCUAGCAUAAUGGUCUCUGGCAUAAUGAUCUGGAAUGUCAUCUUUAUAACGAACAUGGCCUUACCCGCUUUAAUUAUCCACUUCUUCAGAGCUACGGCCUCCUCUGACGUUGUCACGUCAUUUCGGCCAACUACCUCCCACAGGUCUUGCCCUUAGAGAUAUGAUUCCAUGCAAGUUUACCAUGUGGUAUAAUUUCAUUUAUUAACUUCUUCAUCCGCCUACCACUUGUAGGUUAUCCAUCGUGAUUUGAUUUACCUCGUUGUAAUCAAGCAAUCUUUAAUAAAACUUCACAAUCUCUAUUAGUGCACGAAUUCAAGAAGCUCAAAAAUCAAUUCGUGACUGCCUUGCUCUAAAACCAAAUUGUUGAGUUAAACACCCAAACAAAAUGAUUUUAUUGAUAUAAAAUCACUUACACAAUUUAAGAUAAACAGAUCACUAAUAAUACUCAAGGGAGCACUAAUUACUCUCACUUAUCUCUGCACACUCUCUCAUCACUCAUGCAUCCACAACGCACGCAUGUAUUUGUAGUUGUUAAUGGCAGUGGUGAAGUUAUAAUACUAAUUCUAGAUACAUCCAUAAAUGUGAUGGAGAAAGUAAUUGGAUUCUUCUAGUAUCUUUUACAAAUACGCGUGUAUUUGUAGGUGUUAAUGACAAUGGUAAAGUUACA
rnacentral:lncRNA from 1 species